GAAUAGUUUUCGGAUAAAGUUUCCUUUUCUUUCUUUGGUUUUUGCUGCUAAUAAUUACCGAAGCCGUUGUAAGAAAUUGCUGGUGAUGAAGAGAGGGAAAAAGCCUUUUCGCCCUCUAUUUAUUAAUUUAUGAUCGAUAGAGAUGUGUACAUCAACGGGCGCGGAUGUGAUCCGAUCCGCAGUUCAAAUCUGCACGAUUCGUGUAGCUGCUCGAACAUCCUCCCCACCUUGACGAAUGUCAACAAAAAGUUGCUUCCUAGACUACACGUGGUUUUCGCUAUCAGUUCUGAGCGGUAAAACGCAUAUUUUCGUGAUCGGUCGCGUAAUUAUUCCCUUAGCUGUCUUAAGCGUAACGACGCGUACUAUCUUGUCUUCACCGGGAUGGAUUUUAACGAUACGCGCGAGAGGCCAACGAGUGGUGGGUAACGAUUCGUCCAUGAGGAUCACUAACCUGCCGGGAAGUAUGUUGCUGUUGUUGCUGCCACCACUUGCAUAACAUUUCUGCAUUUCUUGUAGAUACUCAGUGGCCCAAUGCUUCCAAAAACGCUGAACCAAAAGCUGCCACUUCUGAAGAUCAUCUAGCGUGCAGGAUUUCAGCUGGGUGUAGUCCGGUUCAGGCACGGCGAACAUCGAUGUGCCAAUAAGGAAGUGUGCCGGUGUGAGUGCAGCUAGCUCGUUGGGAUCGUCGGACAAAGGCAACAGCGGACGGGAAUUCAUCGCUGCUUCGAUUUGGUGGAGCACAGUGCAGUAGCCUUCGUACGACAGCCGCGUAUUGCCCAGGUGACGAUAGAGGUGUCGCUUCGCCGUCUUUACUGCUGCUUCCCAUAAUCCGCCGAAGUGUGGAGCCUUUGGUGGGUUGAAAUGCCAAGUGAUUCCCCGGUCAGCGCAUCUAGUAGCCACGGUGUUGCGGUGUUGUUCGUCGUUGAACAGCUCAAAAAGCUCCUUCAGUUCACGUUCUGCGCCUUCGAAGUUUUUCCCAUUAUCAGAAUGGAUGUGGGCUGGCAAUCCGCGUCGUGAUGUGAAUCGGCGUAGCGCUGCUAAGAAUCCCGCCGUUGUUAGGUCUCCUACGAGUUCCAAGUGCACAGCUUUCGUAGCGAAACAAACGAAAACGCACAGAUAGCUCUUAGUAGCUGCUGCCUUCCGGUGCGCUGGCUUCAAGUAGAAUGGACCGGCGUAAUCCACUCCGGUUACAGAAAAAGGUCGGCUCGGUGUGAUGCGGGAUGGUGGAAGCUGGCCAACCGGCUGCCGGGCGAGUGCGGGAUCUUGCCGAAUACAGCGGAAGCAGUUUCUUGCAAUGCUUUUUACCAAGCGACGUCCGUCCAGUGGCCAAUACAGUUCUCUAAUGCGGGAUAGCAAUAGCCUUCAACUAGCAUGUUUCAUCUCUUCAUGAUAAUCUUCCGCAAGUAGACGGGUGAAUUUGUGGUUCUUCGGUAGAACAGCUGGAUGCUUGGACUGAUACGGUAGUUGCGACAAGUUCAAUCGUCCUCCCACCCGUAUUACUUCUUCUGUAUCCAGGAAUGGGGUAAGUUUUCGUAAAGGUGAUUGUUUCAUCAAUGCUUCUCCCUUUUUUAGCUGCUUGAUUUCCGCGGAAAAUGCAUCUUGCUGGGCUAGUCUGCAAAGCACAAUUUUUGCAGCAUCCACGUACUUGGGCGUGAUCGUCUUGGAUGCAUUGGUGUGCGGUAUCGAUCGCUGUGAUCGCGCCUUCUGCUUGGUGUUGCGCACAAAACGUAUGCAGUAUGCAAUGAUGCGUACCAUUCUGGUGAAGGAUGAAGAAAUGCCAAACCAUGGAUGAGUUUGUGUACAAACUAAAGCGGCACUCACCUGGCGUGUUUCUAGGUCCGCCUCAUCGCUUGGUUCUGGAUCUGAGCUGGGCCAAUGGGACGAAGGUUGCACAAGCCAAUCUGGACCGUUAUUCCAAAGCUGAUUCUGCGUGAAGUGUGCUGCCGACAUGCCUCGGGAAACCAAGUCAGCAGGAUUGGAUGUGACAGGAACGUGCCUCCAUUGCCUUGGAUGAGAGUAGUGUUGCACCUCAGCUACUCGAUUUGCCACGAACGUCUUCCAGGAGUUGGGAGGUGACGCAAUCCAUUUUAGCGUCACUGUUGAGUCGGACCAGAAAAACGAUUCGGCGCACACGAUCUGCAUUGCCUCCUUGACGCGAUGAUGCAGAUGGGCGCCCAGGACAGCUGCGCUUAGUUCAAGCCUCGGCAACGUGACGCGCUUCAGUGGUGCCACUCGAGACUUCGAAGCUAAUAGGCUGAUGCGGACUUCUCCAGCCGCGUUUUCACAACGAGCGUAGACACAUGCUCCGUAGGCGGCCUCAGAAGCAUCGGUAAAUGUGUGAAAUUCUACUGUUGCAUCUGAUGUGAUUAGGAACAGGUUCAUCCCAGCCGGAUUUGAGUAGCCAUAGCUCCUGCAUCAGCAUCUUAGCACGCACGAUCACCGGUGCUAUCAAUCCGAGCGGAUCGUACAUUUUGGCAAUGCUCGACAAAAUAGAUCGCUUGGUCGACGUGGCUUCAUCAGCCUCAGUGUUGGAUUCAAAACACAGCUCAUCCGAUUCAGGCUUCCACGAGAUGCCGAGUGCUUUGACCGUCUCGUUGGGUAUAAAAUGCAGCGAUGAGUGUGUGCCGAUAUACUCGGUGCUUAAGCCGGAGAGUACGCUCAGAUUGUUUGAGGUCCACUUGCGCAACUCAAACCCACCUUUGGCAAGUAGCGCUGAUAACUCCUUACGCAGCUGAACAGCUUCGCGAACGUUAUUGGCACCACCAAUGAAGUCGUCCACGUAAAAGUUUCGUUUCAGGGCUGCAGGUGCAAGCGCAUACUCAGUCCCUUCAUCCUCUGCUAGUUGGAUAAGUGUGCGUGUAGCCAGAAACGAGGAAGGUGCUAGUCCGUAUGUAACGGUGUUGAGCUCAUAUACUUGGAUCGGAGCUUGCGGCGAAAAUCGAAAGAAUAUGCGCACCAAUCGACAAUCGUCAGAAUGCAGCAGUAUUUGUCGGUACAUUUUAGCUAUAUCUCCCACAAGUGCUAUUUGAUCCGUCGAACACGACCCUUACUUUCGUGGUGGUACUGGAGGCUUUAAAUACGGGAUGGUGCGGUAGGUAGUACGCCCGUUCAUCCCCACUAUCUUUGUUCAUGAGCGACAUGUGCCCCAGCUCCAAAUACUCCUUCAUGAAGGCAUGAUAGUCUUCCUUGAGCUGUGGGUUGCGUUCUAGCCUCCUCUCCAGUAGCUCGAAGCGUCUCAAAGCGGUAGUUUUAGACUGGCCAAGCUUUUCCGUGAAGUCGGUCUGUUUGGGCAAUCGUACAAUAUAGCGACCCGACUCGUCGCGCUGAGUGGUUUCUUUAUACAAUGUUUCGCAUCGCCGCUCAUCAGGUGAGUACGAAUCAUUGACGCUUAACUCUUCCAGCUUCCAAAAGCGUUCUAGAGACUCCUCCAGGGAUGCCAUGCAGACGAUUGUGGACGUGGCGGUACAAUCGGUCGGAGAUGCAGGAUUCUGAGGAGAGGUGGGACCAAUCAUGACCCACCCAAACACGCUGUUCAGCAUAGUUGGAAGGCUCGGAGCAAGCUCGUGCGAUUUUACGUUCGUAAAGAAGGAAGCAUAAUGACGG